rnacentral:misc_RNA from 1 species
CGCCUAGUAAGGACUGUAUCGAUAAAAGUAUGGUGCGAACGUCAUACAGAGCACUCCACUUGUCUUUUAGUAUAUCCAGACAGAUAUUACCAGCCGAAUCCACAUUGGGAUGAAAACAAGGAGUGGCAAAUCUCACUACAGGAGCGCUGUAUGGAUAACUGUGCGGAAACUCCAGUGUUAGCUUAUAUGUCAGCCCCACGUAGACCUGCACAGAUAGGAAUGGUUGUAUUGCAAUCAUAUUCCCAUACAUCUAUCAACUUGAAAGCACGUAUCUUACAGUGUCUCGAGGUCCGGUAAUAGUCCCGAUCCACUUGAAGAGAUUCUCUCCAUCAGGGAAAGCAGAGACGCUUUUUUCAGUGCUGGUCAUGAGAACGAGGAGUUCCUUCUGCAGUCUACAGAGAAGAGAAAUUGAUAACCUCACAUUUUCCGAGUGAAGAUAAUGAGGGAAGUUUGGUUAUGUAGCGC